UUAAGCGAAGAAGAGCGUAUGGUGGAUGCCUUGGCACUAGGCGCCGAAGAAGGACGUGACAAGCUGCGAUAAGCUACGGGGAGUUGCAAAUGAACUUUGAUCCGUAGAUUUCCGAAUGAGGGAACUCACCGUUGGUAAUGCGACGGUAUACGCACAUGAAUCAAUAGUGUGCGUAAGGGAACCCGGGGAACUGAAACAUCUAAGUACCCGGAGGAAAAGAAAGUAAAGAAACGAUUUUCUGAGUAGUGGUGAGCGAAAGGGAAAGAGCCCAAACCGAGUCAUAGAAAUAUGGCGAGGGGUAUGGACCGCGACGUAGUAUUAAACGAGGGUAGACGAAUCAGACAGAAAGCUGAGCCAAAGAAAGUGACAGCCUUGUAGUCGAAACUCAAGUUUAGCUUAGCGGUAUCCGGAGUACCACAGGACACGAGGAAUCCGGUGGGAAUGCGGGAGGACCAUCUCCUAAGGCUAAAUACGACCUAGUGACCGAUAGAGAACAGUACCGUGAGGGAAAGGUGAAAAGAUCCCCGGGAGGGAAGUGAAAGAGCACCUGAAACCAUAUGCUUACAAGCAGACAGAGCACCACGGAGCGAUCCGGUGUGAUGUCGUACUUUUUGUAGAACGGGCCGGCGAGUUACGUUGCGUAGCGAGGUUAAGAUAUUAAGUAUCGGAGCCGAAGCGAAAGCGAGUUUGAAGAGAGCGACAUAGUUGCGUGACGUAGACCCGAAACCGGAUGACCUAACCAUGGACAGGUUGAAGCUGGGGUAAGACCCAGUGGAGGACCGAACACACGUUCGUUGAAACGACCGGUGAUGAGCUGUGGUUAGCGGAGAAAUUCCAAUCGAAUCCGGAUAUAGCUGGUUCUCCUCGAAAUAGCUUUAGGGCUAGCCUCUGUUUAGAAUACUGAAGGUAGAGCACUGAAUGGGCUAGGGGGCUUCACGGCUUACCGAACCCUAUCAAACUUCGAAUGACAGAUAUUUGAUGGCAGGGAGUCAGACAGUGAGAGAUAAGUUCCAUUGUCAAAAGGGAAACAGCCCAGAUCUACGACUAAGGUCCCCAAGUAAUAGUUAAGUGGUAAAGGAUGUGUCACUGCUAAAACAACCAGGAUGUUGGCUUAGAAGCAGCCACUCAUUUAAAGAGUGCGUAAUAGCUCACUGGUCGAGUGGUGGUGCGCCGAAAAUUAUCGGGGCUAAAACUAUACACCGAAGUCUGGGAAUACAGUAAUGUAUUGGUAGAGGAGCAAUGUGUUGAGGCAGAAGCGUUAGCGGAAGCGGGCGUGGACGAGACACAAGAGAGAAUGCCGGCAUAAGUAGCGAGAACGUAGUGAGAAACUACGUCGUCGAAAGUCUAAGGUUUCCCGGGGAAGGUUCGUCCCCCCAGGGUAAGUCGGGAACUAAGGCCAGGCCGAACGGCGUAGCUGAUGGACAACAGGUAGAUAUUCCUGUACCGCCGACGUACGAUAAAGAGAUGAAGCAAUGACACAGAAGGAUAGUCUAGGCGCGAUGAUGGAUAGUCGCGUUCAAAUCAUGAGGCUUGUAAGUAGUGAAGUACGCUUACUAAAAGGCUGGGUGAUGAUGAGGAGUGAAAAAUAGUAGCGAAGUAGAUGAAUUCACGCUGGCGAGAAAAGUUGCUAAAUAGUACGUAGGCGCCCGUACCGCAAACCGACACAGGUAGACGGCAAGAAAAUUGCAAGACGAACGGGAGAACCCUUGUUAAGGAACUCUGCAAAAUGACCCCGUAACUUCGGGAGAAGGGGAGCCUACGCGAGUAGGCCGCAGUGAAGAGGCCCAAGCGACUGUUUACCAAAAACACAGGUUUCUGCGAAUUCGAAAGAAGACGUAUAGGAGCUGACGCCUGCCCAGUGCUGGAAGGUUAAGUGGACGUGUCAGAGCAAUCGAAGCAUCGAAAUUAAGCCCCAGUGAACGGCGGCCGUAACUAUAACGGUCCUAAGGUAGCGAAAUUCCUUGUCGGGUAAGUUCCGACCCGCACGAAUGGCGUAACGAUUUGGGCGCUGUCUCAACAGGGGACCCGGCGAAAUUGUAGUAUACGUGAAGAUGCGUAUUACCCGCGACUGGACGGAAAGACCCCGUAGAGCUUUACUGUAGUUUAACAUUGGGUCUCGGUAAUUCAUGUACAGGAUAGGUGGGAGACUGGGAAACGUAGGCGUCAGCUUACGCGGAGUCACCCUUGGGAUACCACCCUUGAAUUAUUGAGGUUCUAACGCUGUGCCAUGAACUGGGCAGCGGACAGUGUUUGAUGGGCAGUUUGACUGGGGCGGUCGCCUCCUAAAGAGUAACGGAGGCGUUCAAAGGUUCCCUCAGAAUG
rnacentral:rRNA from 1 species